AAGGCACUUCAGACGUCUGGGAGGGUGCACAGCCUGCAGUUCUUACAGCCCCAGAGGCCCCAUAAGAAAGGGCUGACGUGACAUUUCUGUCUAGGGUUGACCUCUUAUUAUCUCUCUUCUCAGGCUUUUCUGUGCUCUGUUCUUUCGUCACAUGCUUGAACCCUGCGGACACCAAGGAAGGCUGGCUUGAAAAAAAAAUUGUUGGGUUGGCACUUUCCCUCCCUUGUCUAGACGCUUACGUUUUUUUAUUUUUGACGUGUUGGCAUAUUAGUCACUAAGCUAAAAGAGGGACUUAUUGGAGGAUUUUAGCACCCUCUCCCCAUCCCUAAUAAUUUCUCCCAAAGCCACCCCAAGUAAAAAUACAGUAUGAAUAAAAUUAGCGUGCUUGUUAUAAAAAGUCUGCUCAAGGUAAGUCUUCUGAAAAACAUAUGGCAAUACCUAAGGUCUUACAAAGGAAGACGAUGGCUUUUUUUUUUUUAACAAUCAGGAAAAAUCGAACAAUGCACUGUCAUGUGUUAAGAAUCUAAAAUUAAAGAGCCCAAAUUUUAAAAAUGGCUAAUAUUGAGUGCCAAGCAUUUUACUUACAAUAUCUCUUUAAGUCUUUACCAUCAUUCUAGAAGUGUAUAUUGUCUCUAUUUUACAGUUUUCAGGAAACAGUCCUAGAGCAUUUAAAUGAGUUACCCAAGGCUGAACAACUAUCAAGUGGCAGAUGAUCUGGAAUUCAAAUUGAGGUCUUACUCCAAACUUGUGCUCUUAAACACUGCCUCUGUUAUUGAGGGUUUGGCAAGGCCUAUGAUGCGAAGAAUAUUGCCUUUAAAGCAGAUAAAUGUUACUUUGCUAAUGGUGUCCUUAUUAAAAAAUUUUGCAACUGCUCUUUAGCCUGUUUUCAAAUCAACAGUACAUUCUUUUGAUAGCUCCAGUGACAACAAAAUUUUUUUUAUUUCUCUGCUUUUCAGGCUGAGCAAAUAUUUUUAGGCAAGGCUGAGAAACGCAAAAGUUAGUGGUAUGGAAUCGUAUCAGCAAGAAUGGCUGAAUAAGGAACUUGAAAACUAUCCCUCCAUAAAAGCAACAAAUAAGCUGGCGAAACCAUCAGAAUCAACUUUUUUGGUACUCCGGAAACUAAUUAAUUAAAAAAAAAGUAACAACACUUAAGAAAAAACUGCCGAAUUUUGGCAAGAGAGUUCUAUGAUCAUCUCAAGCUUGGCAGAGACCUUGAAGACAGCAGCAAAUAUCCCUGGUGUAGGUUGCUGGUACCAGAGGGAGCAAUAUGGAUCUUAUUCUAAAGGAGUUGUAAUUAUGUGUUUUGACCUAUCUUGUGGUUGCCUGAUGGUUUGGUUCUAGGGCUUACCUUUGUUUCACCUACUUUCAAGCCUCCCCAGGGCUGAGGCAGCUUCUGAGACAGUGAUUGCCAGAAGGAUUUAAAGCAAAUGUAUUAGCCACUGCCGUCAGGGAAGGGAUAACAGUUGGUGCAAGUAAUAAACAGACCAAAAAGCCUAGGAAGGAAGGGGCUGGGGAAGCAGAUACUUGAGGAGUGAGUGUUUUCAGAAGCUUCCUCUUAUUCUGGGGAAUCUGGACACAAGCUCAGAAAAGACCUGAGAAAACCCCAAACUCUCACUUCUGGCUGACCUUCAGACUCUGUGCAAGCAGGAAGUGAAGGCUAAUGCAGAAUUGUAAAGUAUUUUGCUAAGCCUUGAAGGGCCUCAUGACUGCUUAAUGCUGAUGGACCACCUCCUGACUCUGCUUAAUGAUCUACAGGCACUUGCAUGUGGUUCGGCUUGGUUGCAGACUCCAAAUUGCAGUUCUCUGCUGAUUCUCAAUAAAUCCAUCUUUGCUGGAGAAAUAUUUGACAGUCUUAUUUGUUUCGGAUCAACAAGAGUCCAUGUGCUAGUAUGUCCACUGCUAAUGGAUUUAUCAUUGUUCUAAGCUUUUUCAGUGGGCAAAGUAAGGAAAUCUCUUUUUUUGUAAAUGCAAUACGACAUUAGUAAAUCACAUUGAUAUUUCCAAUUCAAAUUUAGGAGUAUAGGGUUAUUUCUUAACCUUUGAUUUUCUAUUUCAAUCUCUCUUCUCUCACUAAAAAUUGUACUUAUUAAACAAUAUUAAC